GAUGAACGCUGGCGGCGUGCCUAAUACAUGCAAGUCGAGCGAACAGACGAGGAGCUUGCUCCUCUGACGUUAGCGGCGGACGGGUGAGUAACACGUGGAUAACCUACCUAUAAGACUGGGAUAACUUCGGGAAACCGGAGCUAAUACCGGAUAAUAUAUUGAACCGCAUGGUUCAAUAGUGAAAGACGGUUUUGCUGUCACUUAUAGAUGGAUCCGCGCCGCAUUAGCUAGUUGGUAAGGUAACGGCUUACCAAGGCAACGAUGCGUAGCCGACGUGAGAGGGGGAUCGGCCACACUGGAACUUAGACACGGUCCAGACGCCUACGGGAGGCAGCAGUAGGGAAUCUUCCGCAAAGGGCGAAAGCUUGACGGAGCAACGCCGCGUGAGUGAUGAAGGUCUUCGGAUCGUAAAACUCUGUUAUUAGGGAAGAACAAAUGUGUAAGUAACUAUGCACGUCUUGACGGUACCUAAUCAGAAAGCCACGGCUAUCUACGUG
rnacentral:rRNA from 1 species